rnacentral:lncRNA from 1 species
UUAAUUACAAAAGUAUCCUCACAUGAAAUAACCUUUUAAUCCACUACAUAAUAAAAUAACAUUUUUAACCUUCAUUAACCAACGAUUAAGAUCUUUUUUGUUUUUUAUAAAAUGAAGUACCGAAUCAUUUCUCCCUAUAUAUAACAUAUAAUAUGGCUAAAAACUGUUAACCCGGCUAUAGCAUGUUGGGCGGUGAAUAACCCUAAGAGAUUAAGAAAGUUAAUCGUUCUAGAAUUGUAGUUCUAGGAUAGGUGACCUCCUUGGAAAGUGGGGUGGUUCCCCUGCUAACGAUUGUUGUGGCUGGAGAGUGACUCGCACAAGGUUGCUAAGGCUACUGAGACGAGUCUCACAUUGUCUGAUGGUUGUAAGUCUCUAAAUCAUGUUAUAACAUGUUGAGUGGUGAUUAGGCCUAAACGGUUAAUAAGAUUAAGCAAGUUACAACUGGAGUAGUUUUAAGAUGGGUAGCCCCUGAGGAGUUGGGCGGGUCGAUUAAGGCUAGUUAGAUGAGUCUCAGAUUAUCAGAUAGUUGUGAAUUUCUAAACCCGGCUAUAAUAUUUUGGGCGGUAGUUAGACUCAAGAGGUUAAAAGAAUUAAGCGUGCUAAGAAUAGAAUUGUCCAAAAAUGGGUGACCCCUUGGAAAGUGGGGCGUCACAGAAUAUUUUUAUUGUAAAUUUAUAUUUUAAACUAAAAGUACCAAAAUUUUUUAAUUUAUAUUUAAUUCAAAAUGUCACACUCAAUUUUAAAUUAAAUUUAAACUAAUAUUUUAAAUUGAAAUUGUUAUUUGUAGUAUGUGUCUAUUUAUUAUUUGAUUUCUUUUUCAAACUUUAAUUUAUCUCCAAAUAAAUUUUACAUAUUUUAAAUUUAGUUAUACAAUAAAUUGUCACGCCCCGGAUU